AUACGGAGGGUGCGAGCGUUAAUCGGAAUUACUGGGCGUAAAGGGUGCGUAGGCGGCUUGAUAAGUCGGAUGUGAAAGCCCCGGGCUUAACCUGGGAAUUGCAUUCGAUACUGUCAGGCUAGAGUAUGUCAGAGGUUGGCGGAAUUCCUGGUGUAGCGGUGAAAUGCGUAGAUAUCAGGAGGAACACCAGUGGCGAAGGCGGCUAACUGGGGCAAUACUGACGCUGAGGCACGAGAGCGUGGGGAGCAAACAGGAUUAGAAACCCGAGUAGUCC
rnacentral:rRNA from 1 species